rnacentral:lncRNA from 1 species
AUCACUCAUACGCAGCGUUUGCCCAUUUUCACAGCUGCCCCUCUCAGCGGCCACCGCUUUGGGCAUUAUUCGCUUAGCUAUUUACUUCCACUGCAACGCCUUUUCACAGUUAAUUUGCGUUAAAAUAUGCCAGCGCAUGCAGAAGCAGCCGUCACGCUUCCAGUCCUCACACCCUUUCAGAGGGUAACACAAUUCCGACUGAAAGUACUUCCCAACCCACAAAGAUUCUGCUCUGAAGUGUACCUAAAGUUUCGGCACUCGAUGCUCCCC